rnacentral:RNase_P_RNA from 1 species
ACAGCGGAUCAGACGGUCGCUUCCGCGUUCGUCGCGGAGGAGGAAAGUCCGGACUCCACAGGACAGGGUGGCCGUUAACGGCGGCCUCGAGCGAUCGGGGGAAAGUGCCACAGAAAACACACCGCCCGGCGGGUUCCGGCUUCACCGGGCCCUCGGGUAAGGUUGAAAAGGCGAGGUAAGAGCUCACCGGUCCGCCAGUGAUGGCGGAUGCUUGGUAAACCCCACCCGGAGCAAGACCAAAUAGGAGGGUUGGGUCGUCCGCCUGAAGCCCUCGGGUAAGGUCGCUGGACCCCGCGAGCAAUCACGGGGCUAGAUGAAUGACCGUCCCGCUUCCUGUUGGGAAGCAGAACAGAAUCCGGCUUACCGAUCCGCUGGCCCC